UAUUUUUAGAAUUUGAUGAUGAAGAACGCGACUUGGAGAUGGAAUGUAGCUAUUUCAAGGAACUUCUUCACGGUGUUGGCCAUGUUGAGGAUCUUGAAUUGGGUCCCUGGUGCAUCCAGGUUUAUUCAUAUUCUAUCCGAAAUUCAGAUUAUUUUUUUUUGGUUGGUAUUUUCAUUAGUUUAGUUACUUUAAUAGUUCCACUACUUAGGAUAAUCUGAUAACUAAAUAGUACUAAUGAAUUACAUUCUCAGGGCCUGUUUGGUAGGCCAGUUGAAGGUGGCUGAAAGAAACCUUUUUGAAUUAAAUUUUGGAUGAUGAACUGUGAGAACAAAGGGUUUUGCAGUGUACAGAACAAAAAUGUAAAAUUUGAAUUGAUUUACAUUGGUCAUACUCUUUAAGCCAUGUGAAUGGGGUUUUUCAAAGUGUUUAAAAGUCCAUCUUUGGAUUUCCAAACCAACCUUGACCACUUUGAUGUGGCAAAACGCAGUCCUAUACUCCAAGUUGUUUUUACGAAUUAUUCAACGAUUUUCAUGUCAUUUGAUAACUGUGUCAUAUUUCCUUGUUUUGACAAAUUUUGUUUUAUCUAUUUCGUUUAUAAGUGUCUGUCCAUGCUGGAGUUGGAAUAUGGCAGUCUCCACAAAAAGCUGAAAAUUCUUAAAACUUAAUGCAGGUGUAGAAUCGCUGGACUUCCCUGGAAUUUACAGGUUUUUACAAAGUUCGUUGGAUCUUGAGACAUUGGAGAUUGACUGGUACAAUUACAGAUCAAGAAACCUGUUGACAAGAUACAUGGAUGAGGAUGAACAUAGCGGGAGGUUUGAGACACAUAAUUUUAACUGCUCAUUGCGACAUCUCAAGACCAUCAAGUUCAUUAACUUUCAUGGAGCACUAAGUGAUGAUAAGUCUAUACUUCCAUUGGUAAAAUAUUUGCUUAAGAGUACAACAGUGCUAGAAAAGUUCAUCAUUGCUGCCAUAUUAGAAGAGAGUGAUGUAUCCUGGGAUUAUGUUAAAAUGGAACAGGAAUUCCUGAGUCUUCCAAGAUCCUCUCAACACGCUUCAUUUGCCUUUUCUUAUUGAUAAUGUUUGGGCCCUUCUGUUUCAAUUGAUUGCAACAUACCUAACAAUUGUUGUUUUUUAUGAAAGCGGUUACUCAAUGUUUGAUUUUUGUUGCUAAUUUGUAGCUGAUAAAAAGUCAGGAUUGUACUUGUCAGUGUUGAAGGAGUUGUUAGUAGUUCUUCAUGUCUAACUAACAAUGUGUUUAUUCUCUAAACAUCAAGUAAGAAAGCUUGCUCUAAAAGUUUUGUGA